GGGAUCCGAUUCCUACGGGAGGCAGCAGCUAGGAAUCUUGGGAAUGGGCGAAAGCCUGACCCAGCAACGCCGCGUGGGCGAUGAAGGCCUUCGGGUUGUAAAGCCCUUUUGCGGAGGAAGAUGAUGACGGUACCCCGCGAAUAAGCCACGGCUAACUACGUGCCAGCAGCCGCGGUAAUACGUAGGUGGCAAGCGUUGUCCGGAUUUACUGGGCGUAAAGGGCGUGCAGGCGGUCCGUUAAGUUCGAGGUGAAAGCUCCCGGCUCAGCUGGGAGAGGUCCUUGGAUACUGGCGGACUCGAGGGAGGCAGAGGAAAGUGGAAUUCCCGGUGUAGUGGUGAUAUGCGUAGAUAUCGGGAGGAACACCAGUGGCGAAGGCGGCUUUCUGGGCCUUACCUGACGCUGAGACGCGAAAGCGUGGGGAGCGAACCGGAUUAGAUACCCGGGUAGUCCACGCCGUAAACUAUGGACACUAGGUGUGGGGGGUAUCGACYCCCCUCCGUGCCGAAGCCAACGCAAUAAGUGUCCCGCCUGGGGAGUACGGCCGCAAGGCUAAAACUCAAAGGAAUUGACGGGGGCCCGCACAAGCAGCGGAGCGUGCGGUUUAAUUCGUCGCAACGCGAAGAACCUUACCAAGGCUUGACAUGCUAGUGGUACUGAUCCGAAAGGUGAGGGACCCUUCGGGGAGCUAGCACAGGUGCUGCAUGGCUGUCGUCAGCUCGUGCCUUGAGGUGUUGGGUUAAGUCCCGCAACGAGCGCACCCCUGUUGCCAGUUGUAUUCUCUGGCGAGACUGCCCCGUAAAGCGGGGAGGAAGGCGGGGAUGACGUCAAGUCAGCACGGCCCUUACGUCUUGGGCCACUCGCACGCUACAAUGGACGGUACAACAGGUUGCCAAGGAGCGAUCCGGAGCUAAUCCCUAAAGCCGUCCCCAGUUCAGAUUGCAGGCUGAAACCCGCCUGCAUGAAGGCGGAGUUGCUAGUAACCGCCGGUCAGCACACGGCGGUGAAUACGUUCCCGGGCCUUGUACACACCGCCAUCCAUAUGACUAGU
rnacentral:rRNA from 1 species